GAUACGCCGCAUUAUAACGCGAAAGGCAAUAAACGUAUGUCGGUGUGUAAUUAGUGAUUACUGUGUAAAUGUUAAUUCUAAAUAGAAUGUUUCUAAUUCUAAAUAGAAAUCGUCGUUUGACAAUUAGUGAGAUAAAGAGAUCUACUACAUCUGUUGUACAUUCGAUCAACCAUUGUCAAUGAAAAGCUGUCGAAAGCAAUAAAGCGAAAAAAGAAAGAUGAAGAUGAAUAUACAGACAGAAACGUCGCGUCGUAGAGAAAGGAGAGAAAGGAAAAGAGAAACGGAGAAUGCUCCACGGAAUAAUACGUAAUGCGAGAUACGCUUGCUCGGAUACGUCGUGAGAAGAAACGCGACGUGCAUUCUACUCCUUCGUACAUUUAACUAUAUGUUCGUACAAGUGCAUAUACGUAUAUGUGAUUGAAAGAGUAAAUCAACUACUUCAACGAGUGAGUACGUUGUAUUCGUGGUAAACGAUCCAAGGAGACACCGGACUGAAACACCUUUGACGUUAAGCCGAAGCCACCGAAGAGGAUCACUGAUUGCAACUGACACCAGUGCUGCUGGCUUCAUGAAACGAGCGAUCCCCCAAAGUACGCUGCUCUGUCUCUGUACUCUGAUCCCCCAAAGUACGUCCUAUCGAUUUUAUGCGAACUGUUUCCAUCACUCACUCGGAGAACUUUCCGACGAAGUGAAGUAUAUCGUCUGGACACUCGUUCCAAUUCUAUUUGAUUUGCAACGGGAUAUACAUACAUACAUAUAUAUAUAUAUGUAUGUAUACCUAUGUAUAUAUGUGUGUAUGUAUAUAUGAAAUAUAUAACAUAUAUAUAUAUGAUGUACGAUCGAAUCGAUUCUAUAAUUUUGAUAAAUAUAUCGAUAAAAUACGAUCGGAAAGUAUUUUAUCGGAGGAAUAAAAUGGUAAAUGUAGGAUAAUAAAACUAUAAUUCUAAACGUUUAAUAGUUUUGUCAUGGAGCAAAACAACGUUCGUGGUACUAAAGGCGAAGAUUACGAAGGAAUUCAGGAGCGUGUCCACGACGUCGUUCCGUUUUCUCGAGAAUUUAGGAUCCUCUUAACGAGUUUAAGCUCUUCCGUCCCGUUUUCCAAGAGAGUUGAAGAACGAGAACGAGAGAAACAGAGAAAAUUAGAGAAAGAGAGAGAGAGAGAGAGAGAGAGAGAGAGAGAGAGAGGAAAUAAAGUAGGGAGAGAACGAUUCUCACAGCAUCCCAGUCAACCAAUUUCUACCUUCGUACGAGUUCCACUCGUUUAUCCAAGACGAGUAGUCAGGAAUUCACGUCUUCGUGGUCCCUGCAUCAUCAUCACCGUCAGUCGCGAUAAUGAGGACAUCUUGUGCUACUAACAAGACGAGUAUCACACUUCCUGCAUCCCUUCUGACUUGUCCUUUCCCUUCUUCCUUCAUUUCUUCAUCGUUCCUACCUUCCUUCCUUUCUUCCUUCCUUCCUUCCUGCCUGCCUGCCUGCUUGCUUGCUUGCUUGCCUGCCUGCCUGCCUGCCUGCCUGCCUGCCUGCCUGACUGUCUGACUGCCUACCUAUCUACUUUCGAAGAAGCACAAAGCUCUGCUUUAGAACGGGGGAAUAUUAUAAUGUCUCUCUGGCUUACAAAUGUGCUUACUUGGCUUUACCUCGUCGAAAUCUCAUGGCACGUCGUCGGGAGAACGGCGAUCUGAUUUCCUCUUCUUGGUAUAUCUGGGUAUAUCGCGACGGUGAUUUCGCACGAGAAUCGCGAGGUUUAGUUUUGCGAGGAUGGAGACGAUGUGUAAAUGCCUCGCUAAAAGGUCUAUUAGAGGGAAGGGGAGAGAGAGAGAGAGAGAGAGAGAGAGAGAGAGAGAGAGAGACAGUCAGCUUCCUGAAACACGUGCUAUUCUCGUUUUUGCUAUAACUAUACAAUACGAGUUCCUAGAAAUUGAACGACUAACACGGGAAAUGAAUUACUUCAUUUUGAUACAGCAUAUUUCUAACAAAGAAACUAAUAAGAAAUU